GCAAAAUCCAACCCUGACUCCAACCAAGUUUACCUUGAUGGAUGGUUGAAAGAUACUCGAGAUGAGAAAGCAAAAGUCAACCCUGACUCCAACAAAGUUUACGUUGAUGGAUGGUCGAAAGAUACUCAGGCUGAGAAAGCAAACGCCAACCCUGACCCCAACCAAGUUUACGUUGAUGGAUGGGUGAAAGAUGUUAGAACAAAGUUUGAAUCUACUACCCUAAGUUUAAGUUUUGAUGAUAACAAAAUGCUAAGAUACAUUAAUUGUAUGAUUCAUGUAAGACACAUAUGCUAUCUAAAAAUUACAUUCAGUUUUACAGAAACUCUGAUGGGUAUCAGCAUGAGAACAUCCUCAUCAGCAUCAAAAAAUUAG